rnacentral:rRNA from 1 species
GAUGAACGCUGGCGGCGUGCCUAAUACAUGCAAGUCGAGCGAACGGACGAGAAGCUUGCUUCUCUGAUGUUAGCGGCGGACGGGUGAGUAACACGUGGAUAACCUACCUAUAAGACUGGGAUAACUUCGGGAAACCGGAGCUAAUACCGGAUAAUAUUUUGAACCGCAUGGUUCAAAAGUGAAAGACGGUCUUGCUGUCACUUAUAGAUGGAUCCGCGCUGCAUUAGCUAGUUGGUAAGGUAACGGCUUACCAAGGCAACGAUGCAUAGCCGACCUGAGAGGGUGAUCGGCCACACUGGAACUGAGACACGGUCCAGACUCCUACGGGAGGCAGCAGUAGGGAAUCUUCCGCAAGGGGCGAAAGCCUGACGGAGCAACGCCGCGUGAGUGAUGAAGGUCUUCGGAUCGUAAAACUCUGUUAGUAGGGAAGAACAUAUGUGUAAGUAACUGUGCACAUCUUGACGGUACCUAAUCAGAAAGCCACGGCUAACUACGUG